GCCUUAGGUCUGAGUUCAGUGGAGUUUUCUCCCUGCCCUCGAGUCUGACCCGUGUUCAUCGCUUGAGGGACAUAGCUCUUGAGUUCAAGUCGGUGUAAACCCACUCCACAGCCACCCAGCAUGAUGUAUUUUGUGCAUCGCGUGCCAAUGGCGACCACAGCAGCAGUUCUCACCCUCACCGUGGACAUGAUUCCUCGGAGGUUGUCUCGGCCGUGUGGUGCUUGUUCCUUACUCCUCGCAGGUCAAUGAAGGUCACAUCAUUUACUGCUUGAACUCUACCUCUGUUGGUUGCCUGGAACUUGGUGUGAAAUUUUCUCAAAGAUAGGCUGUCAGGUUUCUGGAUCCUAAACUUAGUGCAUAAGGCUGAAACUAGGUUUUAGUGUAUUGAGCUCAACUUUGGAGCUCUGUUGCACCCAGUCUAUUUGGUUUUGGGAUAAAGUUUCUGUAGCAAGUUUGAAGACCGUAGUAAGACGAACAAAAUUACUAAAAGGAGAUGGCCUAGGUCCUACAGAAAAUUGGGAGUAAUUAAUGUCCAAACUAUCUCUAUCAGACGUGUGCAAUGCAGACCAGAUUCAGUUGCUGUAACUAUGGUUCAGUGUUUUUCUCUAGAUUUUGGAGCUCUUUUGUGUUUGCUUGGUGAGGUUUUGGACCACAUUAUCUAUACCAAAGCGAUAGAGCUAUAAUUAGAGAAUAAUUUUGGUUAAGAAAGGCUGGUCUGUUACCAUAUGAAGUUGUGAGAUGUGAGGGGUUAAACAUAGAGGUGUGCAAAGGUUAGUGAGUGUUGAUUCAGCUGAUUCAAGUAAUCAGUGUUGGUUUGAGUUGGGAAGCUGAAGAAGGAUCUUCUCUCCCUGUGGUUGCACUUGUGGAUAUAGUUGAAGAUAUGGAUGGGAUGCACAGCUAAGGUUCUAGAGGUCUCAUUCUCCACUAAAAAUAUCAAGUUUGGUUAGGAGUGUGGGGUGCCUGUCCUGUAAGUUAGUUGAAACAGUGAGUCAAGUCCAUCUUUGGAGCACUAUAACUCCUGAUCCAUGGGCAUUUGGUCUUGGGCUGCUGCAAUGAACUUGUAGAGCUAGGUUGGGUGAGCAAAUUUUGUGAGCCAGGGUCAGCCUGCUAUCACCAGGAAUUGGGAGAAAGUGUUGCUCCAAGUCAGGAUGUCAGUCUAGGAAAUUCUGAACUCGAUUCAGUCCCUAAAGCUAUGUUCCAGUAUUUUCUGUUAGUAUUGGAGCUGUUUGGUGUCUGAUCCAAGGAGUUUAAGGCUGAAGUCUUUAUGAAGAAUUGGUAGAGGGUUGUUUAAUAGACCAGUUUUAGUAAGUGUGCUCCCCAUGUUACUUCGGGAAAUUGUGUGAUUGAAGGGGGUGAAAAGGGAGAGAUCAGGGUUCAACAGGUACUAGGAGUUGCUACAAAAAUCUGAAGAAAGAUCUUCACAUCCCUGCUGUCCUCCGCCCAUGUGCACAAACUGAGUUACGUUGGAAUGGACAACAAAGGAUAUUGAGGUCCAGUCCCCGUGCUGAAAAUAUCUCAGUUGGACUUGUGUGUACCUAUCCACAAGUAGAGUAAUAUCCAUUAUGUUUGAUAGCUACAAAACUGGACAAAGUUGAUAUUUGAGUUAAGAGCGACCGAGUCGUGGCCGGGGUAUUGUAAAUGGAGCGAAGUCGAUGGACCGAGGUGCUUUUGUCAGUGACACCAUUCGACAGUGGUCUGGGCUCUUGUGUGAUUAAUCUUUGCGGUGUGGUCCUUUAUGCAAAAUUGUUGAUGCGGGCGCGGGCCAGCUUUGCCUACUGCUGGGCCGGGUUUCGGCCUAGUAUGGUGCUCGGUUUUGCCUUUUCUUUUACUAGAGAGCUUAGAAAUUGUAGAAAAAUCUAAAAAUAGUGGGACCAAUUCUGUUAGGUGCCUAAAAUCAGGAACUUCCUGUUAGAGUUGGUUUUAAGAUUUUUAUGGUGGUUACCAAAUUUUAGUGUAUUAAAUAGUACUCUUGGAACGCCUAUUUAAAUUUUAGAAAUAAGAAUAUAGCACCAAAAAUUAUAGAAAUUCUUGGAGAGUUUUGUAAGCACAAUAUGAGUACUUGGUAAAAGUUGGUGGAUGUUUGGAAGCCAGUUGCUUAGGAAGCUUUGUAAGGUCCAAAAUAUAAAGGUUAAAUCCUUAAUAAAAGUGGAUAAAGUGCUUUGGAAUAAGAGGAAAGAAGUGAGAUCUGGGUGUUUGCAUAAAGUCUAGUAUGUUUUAAUCCUUUAAUGGCUCAAGCUUAAAGGGAUACCUUACAGGGUUCAAAGUAAGAGAGUUGAAUCCUUGUUUAAGACAUAAAUGGAGUGUUGCUUAAUAAAGACAAGGUUCCCUAGUAUGGUUUAGGAUCUUGGGUGUGGUAUUAGAGUGUUUAGCUCUUUUGUGAUGUUGUUAGUUCUUGGGUGCACCUUUAGAGAUGUGUAGUCUUGAGGUUCUUUUUGUUAUUUUUUAUGCAUCUUCGUGACAUAACCGCAAGCAUAUGUGAUCAUGACAUUUCAUGUAGAGUACCAAGAAGAAGAUCCUAAAGAGAAGUCUACUCAGUGCUAUUGAUCCAGUGGUGGAUUCCAUCUAACUGCUUAUCGUGUUAGAAGAUCUCAGAUCUCCUCCUGUAAUAAGGCAAGCCCCGGAGAAGUUUUAUUCCCUUAUCUUUUGGUUAGUUACUUCAUGUGGAGGCCUUGAAGCUUAGAAUGUUAUGUGUAUCUCUUAUGGAAAGGCUUCACCCUUCCAAUUAUUAAAAUAAGUUAUGCACUUUGGGUACUAUCAGGACUUGUAAUAAUUACCAUUCUUCUUAUGUUGUAAAACUUGAGCUUUGGAAAUGUAAAAUAUGUUUUGUAAAG
rnacentral:lncRNA from 7 species